CCUACGGGUGGCAGCAGUCGAGAAUCAUUCACAAUGGGGGAAACCCUGAUGGUGCGACGCCGCGUGGGGGAAUGAAGGUCUUCGGAUUGUAAACCCCUGUCAUGUGGGAGCAAAUGAAAAAGAUAGUACCACAAGAGGAAUAGCCGGCGAACUCUGUGCCAGCAGCCGCGGUCAUACAGAGGUCUCAAGUGGUGUUCGGAAUCAGUUGGCGGAAAGCGUGCGUAGGCUGGUUCGUACGGCGUGUGGGAAAGGCGCGGGCGCAAACCGCGGACGGCAGAUGAUACUGCGAGACUAGAGUAAUGGAGGGGGAACCGGAAUUCUCGGUGUAGCAGUGAAAUGCGGAGAUAUCGAGAGGAACACUCGUGGCGAAGGCGGGUUCCUGGACAUUAACUGACGCUGAGGCACGAAGGCCAGGGGAGCGAAAGGGAUUAGAUACCCGAGUAGUC
rnacentral:rRNA from 1 species